UUGCGCUGCUGUUUCCGCCGCAAUGCAUUGGGAAUAUCCGACGCCACUUCCAUCAUGUGGAUGCGCAGCGCCGCGCGGUGGUUACUCCACAGUUUCCAGCAAGUUUUCACGUAGCAGCAUACCGUGACGGCCGACGGCAGCCACUGUGUGAAAAGCGCCACGUACAGCGAACUACCACAAAACUGGACACGAUAAUGGCGUUGGACCAAAUCCAGCUGAAGCAAAUCAAAAGGAUACAUUUUUUCUCAGUGUGUCGUUGCCGGUAGGAUGCCGGCCAUGAGAUGGCCCACAAUCGGUCCAGAGCGAUGAUGGUGAUGGUUAACAAAGUUUGUGACGUCCCCAGGAAAUCGAAAUACACCCAAGUGGUGCACUGCCAGCGGGAUAACGGCCAAUGUCGGAAGACGGUUAUCAGGGCAAAGUGGGUCAUGCAAACGGAGCCAGUGAGGCAGUCAGAAAUGGCCAGAUUGAAGAGGGACGCGAUUCUGGGAGAAGUGAGAGUGAAGACAGUGGAAGGGCCCGAAGGAGAAAUGUCUGUAUAUACCUAACAACAUAAAACGCAACAUUAGAAAUCUGUAUUUACGCUACGACAUACAUAUCGAAAGGACUACCAGGCGAAAGUCUCCGGAUGCCCAGGCCCGCAAAAUCAUAAUAAAAUAGCGGAUACAACCUGUGGCUGUCGUGUGCUGCAUUGAACUGUAAAAUUUCGAACUGUGUUUGACCACGCCCUAACGACGACAGCAGCUAAAAUACUACUUUCCACAUAGGACGUUAAUAUACUACGUCUCUACGAAAAAAUGAGUGUUAAAAGCCGCUGAAUCUGGA